AACACUGUAGUUCACUGCUUUAGGGCAUGGUGCUAAUAACUCCAAGGUUGUGGGUUUGAACCCCACCAAUAACA